rnacentral:rRNA from 1 species
AUGAACGCUGGCGGCGUGCCUAACACGAUGCAAGUCGAACGGAGAUAGACGCUGAUGAGGCUUCGGCGGAUUCUGUUAAUCUUAGUGGCGGACGGGUGAGUAACGGCGUGGGCAACCUGCCUCGUACUGGGGGGAUAGCAGUUGGAAACGACUGAUAAUACCGCAUAAGCGCACAAGGUCGCAUGACCUGGUGUGAAAAAACUCCGGUGGUACGAGAUGGGCCCGCGUCAGAUUAGCUAGUUGGUGAGGUAACGGCCCACCAAGGCGACGAUCUGUAGCCGGACUGAGAGGUCGGACGGCCACAUUGGGACUGAGACACGGCCCAAACUCCUACGGGAGGCAGCAGUGGGGGAUAUUGCACAAUGGAGGAAACUCUGAUGCAGCGACGCCGCGUGAAGUGAAGAAGUAUUUCGGUAUGUAAAGCUCUAUCAGCAGGGAAGAAAGGCUCGCAAGAGAGAUGACGGUACCUGACUAAGAAGCCCCGGCUAACUACGUGCCAGCCGCCGC